CAAAGAGGAAAAAAUUUUUUUUCAUCAAGUGUAGAGGCGACAGCAAAAAUAUAUUCUAAUUUUAAUUCUUAAAUUUUACUCGAAUUUUUAACCAUUUAAAAUUUGUAAUUAAUUGUUAAUAAUUAACGCAAAUUCUUUUUUAUUGUCUGUCGCAUUAUUUGCUUGCACAUUUUGAGGCCCACUGCAUAAGAAAUAAAUAAAUCUUUGAAUAAUUUUUUUCUUUCUGUCUUUGACAUCAAAAUCAAUUGACGUGAAAAUCAGUUCACAGCGCUUUACGACGAGUGUAGAGGAGAAAACACGUUCCAGUAUUCCACAGCCGUCUAAAGUUUAUACUUUUUCUCGGCUGAGGAAUGACAAGAAAAGAAGGUGUAGCUGCUAUUAACCUUCGUUGAAAAGAAGAAGAAUUUAAUUAAAUUCCGAAAAAAAUAUUCAAAGAUUAAUAGAAAAGUUGCAAACAGAAAAUUUCCAAGGGGCCUCAGCGGAACGUCAACGGGAAAAGGGCGGCACUCGGCCACCCUAAUUACAAUAUUCAAUCGCACCAGGGCCUAUUAAGAAAUUUUGCAAAUCUCAAAAGGAAACAAUUGCAUUAAAUUAAAAACUUGUCUGAAAAUUUGGAUAUUCAAUUAGACGGAAUACAACAACGUAAAAAGGAAAGGAAAUUGUGGCGUAAACUUUGCAUUGAUGGUAAUGCAUGCUAGAAAACCGCAACGCAUGAACGAUGGCUACUUUGAGAAGCAUCAAUCUCAUUCGUAUCAGACAAACAGGCUGAAUUAGGAUAAAACCAAAAGCAUACUGCAACUGCUCCUACUCCUAGCUCCUAAUAGCAAUCACUUCAUUUGUUGUUUGUUGUUGUUUGUAGUCAUCAAAAGUUUUGUUUAUUGUAUUGUUGUAAAAAAAAAAAUGUCAUCAUUUCAUCAAAGUUAAACAAACACUACUACUCGAACUAACCAAAAUUAACCAAAGAUAACAAAUACGAAGCGCCCCAUCAACUAAAUAACAAACGAAAGAAAAAGACACAAAUUCUAAAAACGAGCGGGUGCCUCGAAAACCCACUCCCGUACAGUUUAUGUCUGCCACAAAUAGCAUUGCACUUGAUAUCACAACAACACUGGCAGCUGAGUGUAAUAAAAAUGCUGCUGCUGUCGGACUGUGUCGCAUCGUAGAUAGUUCCAAGUACAGUUCAAAACGAGAUUAUGAACGUGAUCGCUCAUCGAAUUAUCGCGAACGCGACCUUUCCCCGGCUGGCGGUGGUGGACCAUUAAAUAAUGGUAAUAGUUCAUCGUAUCGUUCACAGUCACCUGAAAUAGAUUCACCAUCAUCCAGAGGUCACGGUGGUUCACACGAUAUUAGAGAUCGUGGUGAUCAUCGAGGUGGUGGCGAUCGUUUCAGUUACAUACAAAAAAUGAGAGAUCGCGAACGCGAUAUUUAUAAAAAGGAUAAAUAUUCAGACAAACGCGAUCGUCGAGGUGGUGAUCGUGAUUCUGAAUCCCAUCGCACUAAUCAUGACAGGAUUGAUAGACGUGGUGGCGCCAGUGGUGGCAGUGGUAGCGGAGCCAAGCUCUGUUCUUCCGGCAGUAGUGGCGAUAAACGUUCUGGCUCCGAUGACCGCGACCGUGAACGAGAACGUGAUCGUGACAGAGAUCGUGAUCUAAGAGACAGCAAACGUGAAAGAGAUUCUUUAAGAGAACGUGAUCGUGAACGAGAUCGUGAAAGGGAUCGUGAUAGAGAUCGUAGUAAUCGUGGUGGAGAUGAUCGUGAAAGAGAUCGUGGUGGCGGCGGUGGUGGAGGCAGUGGCGAACGUAAUGAUCGUGGUGAACGUAUUGCCAGAUGUGGUGAUUGGAGUGAACAUGUUAGUUCAUCGGGAAAAAUGUAUUAUUAUAAUUGUAAAACAGAAGUCUCACAGUGGGAGAAACCAAAGGAAUGGGUUGAACGUGAGCGUAAUCUGGCGCGUGAUCAACACCGUGAAAAGGAUUAUCGUGACAAAGAACGCGAUAGAGAUCGCGAAGAACGCUUUUCCAGAUCAACAUACAAACAUUCCAGUUCUCGUGGCAAUUCUCGACUGAGGUGGAACUAUGAUAAUGAUAGCGGACCACCAAAUCACAGAAGGCGUAUAGAUGCUCGCUUAGCUGAUAAUGCCGAUAUGGACAUUAGUCCAGGCGAUUCUACGCCCACAUCUGAGGCCAGUUAUUCACUGACUGGCACACCAACAACCCAUGGCGGUGGCAAUCAACACAACGACCAAGCAUUGCCGUCAACAACAGUGGGUUUGCCUAAUGCGUUGCCACGCUUAGCUUCACAUCCCAAUGCCUCUAGUAAUAUGACCUCUUCCUCUGUCAAUGCCACAACACCAAGUGUAGCGUCAUCAUCUAUGCACUAUGCCGUGACGUGUGCUAAUCCCGCCGCUAGUGCCGUAGGUGGUUCAGGAGUUGUUGCCGGUGGUGCAACGAUGUUGCCCACAACUGGUCUUGCUUCGUCGAAUAUGCCAGCGGUAUCAACACAAGGUGUUUUGCCCAACAGCGGCAGCAGUAAUCAUAGAAAAUUAGAUGCGGUAACGUCGUUACAACAUCAAUCACACAUGAUAGGAUCGCCCAAUUCCACUAUACCAUCGUCAUCGAAUCAAGGGGAUCAUCAUCUCAAUUCAAAUGCACCUGGUCCCCCAAAAAUGAGUUCUAAAGAUCCUACACAUUUAAUGCGCCAACAACAGCAUCAUCAUCAUUUAAAUACACAAGAUGGUCAUCUCAUUUCCUCGUCAGCUGGUGAUAAUCAUGCUGCCGCUGGACAGGUUAUGAAUUUAAGGGAAAAUGCUUUGAAUUCACCUUUAUACAAUUUAACGCAUUCUCAUGGCAUGUCUCCCAUGGGUUAUAGUAAAAGUCCCAUAACAUCGUCUGCCCCGGGUAGCAGUAGCGGUGCUGUUUCUAUGACUAUGACACAUGCAAAUAAUGUGGGCAGUGGAGGUAGUGUUAAUAUGGUCUCCUCAUAUUCCUGCACUAAUCCCUAUGGACUUAAGACUGUCGAUGGUGGCGUCAAUAGCAAUGUUGGCAUUAAUUCUCUCAAUGCUGCUGGGGGAAUUGUUAGUGUUGGUGGCAACAAUGCUUUAUGUUCCUCAUCGAGUUUAUCUGUUACUCCCAAUAUUAAUAUAAGCGGUGCAAUUGGUAGCGGUAGUAGCGUUGGCGGCAGCAGCAGUAGCAUGGGAGUAAUACCCGGUGAGGGCCCACCGACUCCUACACAGGAAUUAGAUUUAAGUGGUAAUUCAUCAUUAGAACAACAACAAAGAAAAUUGGAUGGUACAUCGUCGGCUUCUUUAAGUACGCUACAAAGUUGUGUUUCCAAUUCAAUACAAGCUGGUCGCUCGCAAGGUCCCGAAAUCUCUACAAAACUUAGCAAGUAUUUUAGAGCCGAUUUAAUAACACACGUUACCAAUUGGGCAGCAGAUCAAUUAGAAAAACAGACGCAAAAAUGUUCAGAAGAAGCACAUUUAUAUGGAGAUUUACAGUGUACAAAAGUGUCGGCUGAAUUGAAAUGUGCGAGGAGUUUAGUUAGAAUAACUGAAAUAACAGCCACACUGCAAGAACAAAAGAUCAUGUAUUUGCGCCAACAAAUACGUCGAAUAGAAGAAUCAAAAUCACAAAAUUCAUUCAUGUCCGAUGAUCUUUAGCCAAUUACUUUUAGAGCAAUCUAAGGCGUAAUAAUAGAGAGAUUCUGUUUAAACAAAAAGUAAAAUAAUGAAACAAAAAAAGAAAUGCUAAAUGCAAUGUGCCCCAUAUAAUGUUUUGAGUUUUUUACACCUUGUAGAUAAAAAACAAAAACAACAAAAAAAAGUACGCAAAAAAAGGAAAAAACAUACAACAUUAAUAAA